AUUCACAUGAAUGUUGUGCAUCUCUCUCACAUUUCUCUCUUGCUCAUGACAAGAAAGGAGCCGGCCAUGACUUGAAAUUCGGCCAGCCCCUCCUCUUCAUUUCCUUCUCUUGCAAGCCUUGCCUCCCAACUACCCCAACAAAUAAAUGGGCAGCCACCCACCUUAGCCAAUCAAAAUGGAGGCAGCCACCAUCCUCCCUCUAUAUAAGAGCUUGGCUUGCCACCUCCACUCCCCUUGGCUCAUUUCUUUCACACUCCACUCCCUCAUACCUUCCUCCCCCUUCUCCCCACGAGUUGCUGCUCCUCCUUAGCUCCAUGGCCGGCCAUGGCCAUGGAAAGCCACCAAGAUGGAGCUCCCCUCCUUCCUCAAGCUUAUUCUCACCAUGAGAGCAUCUCUCUCACUCUCUUCUCCCCUAACCUUUGAUUGAAUCCAGCUCCCUUUCUCUUCUCCCCUCUCACAAGAUUGGAUCUUGAUGCAGGUGCAUGUUGGUCUAAGCAUGGAGAAGGUUGAGCUAUCCUCAGAUCUGAAGUUCUUGAGCAAAAUCCAAAUCGAGUGAUUCAAAGAUCCGAAGAUAGGUAUUGAAAAUAUCUACAACUUGGCGUUGGUCUCAUCCUCAAAUUCGUUACGGAUUUUGCAUGGGGAUAAUUGGUUUAUACCAUGGUGAUAAACGAGAGAGGCAAUUGCUAAGUUGUGAUGCACUCAUACCUUUACUAGAAUUUGACCAAGUCAGAGGUGGGCCGCGAUCAAGAUGGACUUAAAGAAAUAUACAUGGAAGAAUUACGUGAAUCGGCCUCGUGUACCAAGUUUGGGCUAGUCUGCCCUUGUACCUGUAAUUUAUUAGAUCGUAUUUUAAGUUAGAGUUUUACCCGUGCACGGUUAGGUGCACGCCUGAAUUAGAAAGUCCCCUGGACUAUAAAUAUGUACCUAGGGUUUAUGGAAUAAACAACAACUCAUGUUCAACCCAAA